rnacentral:rRNA from 1 species
GACGAACGCUGGCGGCGUGCCUAAUACAUGCAAGUAGAACGCUGAAGGAGGAGCUUGCUCUUCUGGAUGAGUUGCGAACGGGUGAGUAACGCGUAGGUAACCUGCCUGGUAGCGGGGGAUAACUAUUGGAAACGAUAGCUAAUACCGCAUAAGAGUAGAUGUUGCAUGACAUUUGCUUAAAAGGUGCAAUUGCAUAACUACCAGAUGGACCUGCGUUGUAUUAGCUAGUUGGUGGGGUAACGGCUCACCAAGGCGACGAUACAUAGCCGACCUGAGAGGGGGAUCGGCCACACUGGGACUGAGACACGGCCCAGACUCCUACGGGAGGCAGCAGUAGGGAAUCUUCGGCAAUGGACGGAAGUCUGACCGAGCAACGCCGCGUGAGUGAAGAAGGUUUUCGGAUCGUAAAGCUCUGUUGUAAGAGAAGAACGAGUGUGAGAGUGGAAAGUUCACACUGUGACGGUAUCUUACCAGAAAGGGACGGCUAACUACGUG